rnacentral:rRNA from 1 species
UACGUAGGGAGCAAGCGUUGUCCGGAUUUACUGGGUGUAAAGGGUGCGUAGGCGGCUAAGUAAGUCAGGCGUGAAAUAUGUAGGCUUAACCUACAGACUGCGUUUGAAACUGCAUAGCUUGAGUGGAGUAGAGGCAGAAGGAAUUUCCAGUGUAGCGGUGAAAUGCGUAGAUAUUGGAAGGAACACCAGUGGCGAAGGCGAUCUGCUGGGCUCUAACUGACGCUGAUGCACGAAAGCGUGGGUAGCAAAC